rnacentral:rRNA from 1 species
GACGAACGCUGGCGGUGUGGAUUAGGCAUGCAAGUCGAACGGUAUCAUCCUUUCGGGGGUGAGAGAGUGGCGAACUGGUGAGUAACACGUAGGUUAUCUACCCUCAAGACGGGGACAACCCAGGGAAACUUGGGCUAAUACCGGAUGUGAGCAACUUUUAGUUGUUUGAAAGGUGGCGUAAGCUGUCGCUUGGGGAUGAGCCUGCGUCCUAUUAGUUAGUUGGUGAGGUAACGGCUCACCUAGGCAAUGAUAGGUAGGCGGCCUUAACGGGUGGUCGCCCACACUGGGAUUGAGAUACGGCCCAGACUCCUACGGGAGGCAGCAGUCGAGAAUAGUCUACAAUGGUCGGAAGACUGAUAGUGCGACGCCGCGUGAACGAUGAAUCCCUUCGGGGUGUAAAGUUCUUUUAUAUGUGAGCAGUGCUUCUUAUAUUAACAGUAUGGGGAAGAGAUAUUAGCAUAUGAAUAAGCAACGGCUAACUCCGUGCCAGCAGCCGCGGUAA